rnacentral:piRNA from 1 species
UCCCGUGAAUAGCUUGGAUUUGUGCUGC